AUUGAACGCUGGCGGCAGGCUUAACACAUGCAACUCCAGCGAGCGGCGCACGGGGGAGUAAUGUCUGGGAAACUGCCUGAUGGAGGGGGAUAACUACUGGAAACGGUAGCAAAUACCGCAUACCAUCAGAUGUGCCCAGAUGGGAUUAGCUAGUAGGUGGGGUAAUGGCUCACCUAGGCGACGAUCCCUAGCUGGUCUGAGAGGAUGACCAGCAACACUGGAACUGAGACACGGUCCAGACUCCUACGGGAGGCAGCAGUGGGGAAUAUUGCACAAUGGGCGCAAGCCUGAUGCAGCCAUGCCGCGUGUGUGAAGAAGGCCAUCGGAUUGUAAAGCACUUUCAGCGAGGAGGCGUUACUCGCAGAAGAAGCACCGGAUAACUCCGUGCCAGCAGCCGCGGUAAUUC
rnacentral:rRNA from 1 species